UGACGUUGAUCCCGCCGGACCUGACUGCUAUCGGAUUGAUACUAAGCCAUCAGAGUCAUUGUAGCAAUACAAGGCAGACGGCUCAGUAACGCGUAGUCAACCUACCCUAUGGACGGGGAUAACCUCGGGAAACUGAGAAUAAUACCCGAUAGAACAUUAUACCUGGAAUGGUUUAUGUUUCAAAUAAUUUAUUGCCGUAGGAUGGGACUGCGGCCUAUCAGUUGUGCUGUGAGGUAAUGGCCCACCAAGACUAUUACAGGUACGGGCUCUGAGAGGAGUAGCCCGGAGAUGGGUACUGAGACACGGACCCAGGCCCUAUGGGGCGCAGCAGGCGAGAAAACUUUGCAAUGUGCGAAAGCACGACAAGGUUAAUCCGAGUGGUUUCUGCUAAAGGAACCUUUUGUUAGUCAUAGAACCACUAAUGAAUAAGGGGUGGGCAAGUUCUGGUGUCAGCCGCCGCGGUAAAACCAGCACCUCAAGUGGUCAGGAUGAUUAUUGGGCCUAAAGCAUCCGUAGCCUGCUAAGUUACCUUUCGGUUAAAUCCAUACGCUCAACGUAUGGGCAGUCGGGAAUACUGCAAAGCUAGGGAGUGGGAGAGGUAGACGGUACUCGGCCCGAAGGGGUAAAAUCCUUUGAUCUAUUGAUGACCACCUGUGGCGAAUGGGAUCUACCAGAACACGUCCGCACCUGAGGGAUGAAAGCUGGGGGAGCAAACCGGAUUAGAUACCCGGGUAGUCCCAGCUGUAAACUAUGCAAACUCGGUGAUGCAUUGGCUUGAUGCCAAUGCAGUGCCGCAGGGAAGCCGUUAAGUUUGCCGCCUGGGAAGUACGUACGCAAGUAUGAAACUUAAAGGAACCGGCGGGGGAGCACCACAAGGGUGAAGCCCAAGGUUCAAUUGGAGUCAACGCAUCGU
rnacentral:rRNA from 1 species